rnacentral:sRNA from 1 species
AUCGGGGCUGGCGGGAGCCUGGGACUCCGGGCAGCGCCGCUCCCUCCUCCGCUCGCCCGCCAGAUCCGGGAGAAGGAAUCGUGCCCGCGCCGCCUUCCUGUGGUCUCUGCCGGCCCCGGGCUCCUGCGGCCCGAUGCGGAGGCGCCUCGAGACAGGCAGCAGCCGGCUGGAGCGAGCGGCGCGGGCGGGCUGAGAGCGGCGGCGCCCCGGGUCGCGGAGCCGGGUGCGCCUCUGCGGUCGUCGCUCCUGGGCCUCGGCGGGUCACUCCUGCCGGCCGGCUUCGCUGCGGGUUCGCAUUGCCCGGGGUGGCACCUGUGGAAAUGAAACGGAGAAAUAAGAUCCAGCCUUGUUUAUCAAAGCCAGCUU